AACGAACGCUGGCGGCAGGCUUAACACAUGCAAGUCGAGCGCCCCGCAAGGGGAGCGGCAGACGGGUGAGUAACGCGUGGGAACGUACCCUUUGCUACGGAAUAGCUCCGGGAAACUGGAAUUAAUACCGUAUGUGCCCUACGGGGGAAAGAUUUAUCGGCAAAGGAUCGGCCCGCGUUGGAUUAGGUAGUUGGUGGGGUAAUGGCCUACCAAGGCGACGAUCCAUAGCUGGUCUGAGAGGAUGAUCAGCCACAUUGGGACUGAGACACGGCCCAAACUCCUACGGGAGGCAGCAGUGGGGAAUAUUGGACAAUGGGCGCAAGCCUGAUCCAGCCAUGCCGCGUGAGUGAUGAAGGCCUUAGGGUUGUAAAGCUCUUUCACCGGAGAAGAUAAUGACGGUAUCCGGAGAAGAAGCCCCGGCUAACUUCGUGCCAGCCGCCGCAGUAAAAC
rnacentral:rRNA from 1 species